rnacentral:rRNA from 1 species
GGGGGGGGGGGGGGGGGGGGGGGGGGCGGGGAGGGGGGGGGGGGGGGCGGGGAGCGGGCGGCGCGGGGGGUGGCGGCGGACGGGUGAGGAACACGUGGGUAACCUACCUAUAAGACUGGGAGAACUUCGGGAAACCGGAGCUAAUACCGGAUGAUAUUUUGAACCGCAUGGUUCAAAAGUGACAGACGGUCUUGCUGUCACUUAUAGAUGGAUCCGCGCUGCAUUAGCUAGUUGGUAAGGUAACGGCUUACCAAGGCAACGAUGCAUAGCCGACCUGAGAGGGUGAUCGGCCACACUGGAACUGAGACACGGUCCAGACUCCUACGGGAGGCAGCAGUAGGGAAUCUUCCGCAAUGGGCGAAAGCCUGACGGAGCAACGCCGCGUGAGUGAUGAAGGUCUUCGGAUCGUAAAACUCUGUUAUUAGGGAAGAACAUAUGUGUAAGUAACUGUGCACAUCUUGACGGUACCUAAUCAGAAAGCCACGGCUAACUACGUG